AUUCUACCCAUGCGGGGAAGGAUGAGAAGCUUCGACUAAGGUUCGAUUCGAGCGAAAGCGAGAGAACGUUGCCGCAGGCAACGACCCGAAGGGCGAAGCGCGCAGCGCUGAGUAAUCCUUCCCCCACCACCA
rnacentral:sRNA from 2 species